rnacentral:rRNA from 1 species
GGAGUCCUACGGGGGGCAGCAGUAGGGAAUCUUCGGCAAUGGACGAAAGUCUGACCGAGCAACGCCGCGUGAGUGAAGAAGGUUUUCGGAUCGGAAAACUCUGUUGGUAGAGAAGAACGUUGGUGAGAGUGGAAAGCUCAUCAAGCGACGGUAACUACCCAGAAAGGGACGGCUAACUACGUGCCAGCAGCCGCGGUAAUACGUAGGUCCCGAGCGUUGUCCGGAUUUAUUGGGCAUAAAGCGAGCGCAGGAGGUGUAUUAAGACUGGUGUAAAAGGCAGUGG